rnacentral:snoRNA from 1 species
GGGAUGUGAUGAGCGGUAACAGCUCGCAUUCUGCGAGAGGGGCACCCGCCCCCAUAAGCCUGUUACGACAAACAGGGGCGCUCUCGUAAUUUACCAAUCUGAUCCC